GCCCCUAUAGUUCAGUGGAUAGAACGUGGGCUUCCGGAGCCUAAGACGUAGGUUCAAUUCCUACUAGGGGUA
rnacentral:tRNA from 1 species